GAAGGAUCAUUACCGAGUGUAGGGUUCC
rnacentral:rRNA from 1 species